rnacentral:rRNA from 1 species
UACGAAGGGUGCAACCGUUGCUCGGAAUCAUUGGGCGUAAAGCGCACGUAGGCGGCCUUGUAAGUCGGAUGUGAAAUCCCACGGCUCAACCGUGGACGUGCAUUCGAAACUGCUCGGCUCGAGUAUGGAAGAGGGUCGCGGAAUUCCCGGUGUAGAGGUGAAAUGCGUAGAUAUCUGCAGGAACACCCGUGGCGAAAGCGGCGCGCUGGACCACUACUGACGCUGAGGAACUAAAGCUAGGGGAGCAAACAGG